GCCCCCGUAGCACAACGGAUAGUGCGCCGGACUUCUAAGCCGUGAUAUGUUGGUUCGAUUCCAACCGGGGGCA
rnacentral:tRNA from 1 species